rnacentral:tRNA from 1 species
AGUCUUAUAGUCUAUAUUAGGAUAUUAAAUUGCAAAUUUAAUGGAAAAUUUAAUUUUAAGGCUU